AGUGGUACGGGUAGUAGGGGUGAGUAGUGGUACGGGUAGUAGGGGUAUGGGUAGUAGGGGUGAGUAGUGGUACGGGUAGUAGGGGUGAUGGUAGUAGGGGUGAUGGUAGUAGGGGUGAUGGUAGUAGGGGUGAUGGUAGUAGUGGUACGGGUAGUAGGGGUGAGUAGUGGUACGGGUAGUAGGGGUAUGGGUAGUAGGGGUGAGUAGUGGUACGGGUAGUAGGGGUGAUGGUAGUAGGGGUGAUGGUAGUAUGGGUGAUGGUAGUAGUGGUACGGGUAGUAGGGGUGAGUAGUGGGUGGUAGGGAGUUACGGUAGUAGGGAGGUAGGGAGGUAGGUAGGGUGGUUGGGUGUUAGGGAGGUAGGGUUGUAGGGUGGUAGGGAGGUAGGGUGGUAGGAAGGUAGGGCGGUAGGUAGGGUGGUAGGGAGUUAGGGUGGUAGGGUGGUAGGGAGGUAGGGAGGUAGGGUGGUAGGUAUGUAGGGUGGUAGGGAGGUAGGUAGGGUGGUAGGGAGGUAGGUAUGUAGGGUGGUAGGUAUGUAGGGUGGUAGGGAGGUAGGUAGGGUGGUAGGGAGGUAGGUAUGUAGGGUGGUAGGGAG
ensembl:lncRNA